AAGCAUAAUGUUGUGUUGAGUAAGACUUAAAAUUAGAGAUUGAGACCAUGAACUCCUUACGAAAAUGUUUACUGAGGUAAUAAAUCAAGUGAGAAGUGGGUUACUUUCUCAUAGACUUCUACAGAAACCGACCUCCUUUUGCAACCGCACGUGUC